rnacentral:rRNA from 1 species
AGAGUUUGAUCAUGGCUCAGAACGAACGCUGGCGGCAGGCUUAACACAUGCAAGUCGAACGCUCGUAGCAAUACGGGAGUGGCAGACGGGUGAGUAACGCGUGGGAACAUACCCUCCGGUUCGGAAUAACUCAGGGAAACUUGGGCUAAUACCGGAUACGGCUGAGAGGCGAAAGAUUUAUCGCCGGAGGAUUGGCCCGCGUUCGAUUAGCUUGUUGGUGAGGUAACGGCUCACCAAGGCGACGAUCGAUAGCUGGUCUGAGAGGAUGAUCAGCCACAUUGGGACUGAGACACGGCCCAAACUCCUACGGGAGGCAGCAGUGGGGAAUAUUGGACAAUGGGCGCAAGCCUGAUCCAGCCAUGCCGCGUGAGUGAUGACGGCCUUAGGGUUGUAAAGCUCUUUCGCUCGGGACGAUAAUGACGGUACCGAGAUAAGAAGCCCCGGCUAACUUCGUGCCAGCAGCCGCGGUAAUACGAAGGGGGCUAGCGUUGUUCGGAAUUACUGGGCGUAAAGCGCGUGUAGGCGGGUCUUUAAGUCAGGGGUGAAAUGCCAAGGCUCAACCUUGGAACUGCCUUUGAUACUGGAGAUCUUGAGUCCGGGAGAGGUGAGUGGAAUUGCGAGUGUAGAGGUGAAAUUCGUAGAUAUUCGCACGAACACCAGUGGCGAAGGCGGCUCACUGGCCCGGAACUGACGCUGAGACGCGAAAGCGUGGGGAGCAAACAGGAUUAGAUACCCUGGUAGUCCACGCUGUAAACGAUGGAUGCUAGCCGUUGGGGAGCUUGCUCUUCAGUGGCGCAGCUAACGCUUUAAGCAUCCCGC